GCAUGGCAAUGGGUCCAUGGUGGGCGCCUCUCUGUGGGCCUCACAGUGACCCAUGCCAGAGUGAACUGCAGCCUCAAACCGUUGCCCAGCCUCUUCACCUGUGGGCUGUGAGGACUGAAGGGGGAAGUACAGUG